rnacentral:tRNA from 1 species
GCCGUCGUGGCGCAAUUGGUAGCGCGUUGCUUUCCUAAGGCAAAGGUUGUGGGUUCGAUCCCCAUCGGCGGUA